CCCUUAGAUGUCCUGGGCCGCACGCGUGCUACACUGACACUUACACCGAGUUUUUCCGGCCCCGAGAGGUGGCUGGUAAUCAGUAAUAGGUGUCGUGAUGGGGAUAGAUCUUUGGAAUUAUUGAUCUUGAACGAGGAAUGCCUAGUAAUCGUAGGUCAUCAGCCUGCGAUGAUUACGUCCCUGCCCUUUGUACACACCGCCCGUCGCUCCUACCGAUUUCGAGUGGUCCGGUGAACCUUUCGGACAGAGAGAGUCUCGUACAAUCUCUGAAAGUCAAGUAAACCACAUCACUUAGAGGAAGGAGAGGUCGUAACA
rnacentral:rRNA from 1 species